UACGUAGGGGGCAAGCGUUGUCCGGAAUCAUUGGGCGUAAAGCGCGUGUAGGCGGCCAGGUAAGUCCGUUCUGAAAGCCCGGGGCUCAACCCCGGGAGGCGGAUGGAUACUGCUUGGCUCGAGUCCGGAAGAGGCGAGUGGAAUUCCCGGUGUAGCGGUGAAAUGCGCAGAUAUCAGGAGGAACACCAAUAGCGAAGGCAGCUCGCUGGGACGUUACUGACACUGAGGCGCGAAAGCGUGGGGAGCAAACAGG
rnacentral:rRNA from 1 species